rnacentral:misc_RNA from 1 species
AUAUAUAUUGCUCUACUGCUGCUUAAUUCUUCCCAAACAAACCCUCCCUAAACCCAUACAAACAUAUUUUAUUGGAGUUACUUAGUCACUGGGGAUUGAAUAUCUUGACAUGUGACAAAUUUCAGCUUGACAACUGAGUUUAAAAAGAUAUGGAGAUCUAUUUGGGGGAGUCAUCUGCACAAUGUGCACAUGCAGUAAUGCUUUUGCUUUGGCCAAACUGGGCAUAGUACUGUUUUAUAUUCAUGUAGGCUGUAGCACUAUCAUUUGCCUUCAAUGAAUUAGGUUUUGCGUUGUUUUCUAAUUACACAUACCUGCAUAUUUUUAAGUUUACUUCAUAUUUCCAUGUGGGUAUUAUUUUGAUCAUUUUUAAUCUUUUGCAUGUGCCUUUUGAUAUUUGUUUUCUGUUUUCUCAUAAAUGGAAAACAUAAAAAAGAUUAUAUAAACUGUACUCCAGUGAAACCAAUCAUGCCAGCUCAGCUGCACUGAAAAAUAGAUUAGUUUCAGUUUACAGAAAUCUCAACCCUCAGUUUCAGUUAAGAAAGUAAUAUCUAUCCUGUCCAUGUAUCCAACCUGUGGCAGCCCAAAUAUCUGAAGAUAGAUCCAAUUAAUCUAAAUUUUUUAUUUUACAGGUUUGCUACGGUUGAUAAUUGAUACCUUUCACAACCUAUAACCAACUAAAUAAUAUGAAUCCUAGUUAAAACGUAACAUAGUUACCUGGAACACGGUACCCUCAGGUCAUGGUAGGGAUACACAGUACAUACGAUAAUUUUUUUAAAAACAAACACAUAAUUCAAAAUUUUUGUAAAAUUUUUGUUAUUUAUUAUUAUUAUUA